rnacentral:rRNA from 1 species
UACAGAGGUCUCAAGCGUUGUCCGGAUUUAUUGGGCGUAAAGAGCGUGUAGGCGGCUGGGUAGGUCUGCUGUGAAAACUCGAGGCUCAACCAUCGAGACGUCGGCGGAAACCCCUCCAGCUAGAGUCCGGAAGAGGAGAGUGGAAUUCCUGGUGUAGCGGUGAAAUGCGCAGAUAUCAGGAAGAACACCCGUGGCGAAAGCGGCUCUCUGGGACGGUACUGACGCUGAGUGCGCGAAAGCCAGGGGAGCAAACGGG